rnacentral:rRNA from 1 species
GGUAUGAAUGGUUAAACGAGAAAUCAACUUUUUUUGUUGUAAAGCUUGAAUUUAACUUUUUAGUGAAAAGGCUAAAAUUUUUCAAAAAGACGAGAAGACCCUAUAGAGUUUUAUAAUCAAGGGAAUAUUUCUUUCUUAGAUUUUUAUGAGAGGUAUUUACUGUAGUUAUUUUGUUGGGGCGACAUUUAGAUAUAAAAAACUCUUUAUUUUUAAAACUUUUAUGAAAGGUAAAUUGAUCCUUUAAAAAAGAUCAUAAGAAAAAAUUACCUUAGGGAUAACAGCGUAAUCUUUUUUGAGAGUUCUAAUCGACAAAAAGGUUUGCGACCU